GAUGAACGCUGACAGAAUGCUUAACACAUGCAAGUCGACUUGAACUUCGGUUUGGGUGGCGGACGGGUGAGUAACGCGUAAAGAACUUGCCUCACAGCUAGGGACAACAUUUGGAAACGAAUGCUAAUACCUGAUAUUAUGAUUUUAGGGCAUCCUAGAAUUAUGAAAGCUAUAUGCGCUGUGAGAGAGCUUUGCGUCCCAUUAGCUAGUUGGAGAGGUAACGGCUCACCAAGGCGAUGAUGGGUAGCCGGCCUGCGAGGGUGAACGGCCAGACGGGGAGGGAGACAGGGCCCGUACUCCUACGGGAGGCAGCAGGGGGGAAUAUUGGAUAAGGGACCAAGAGUCUGAUCCAGCAGUUCUGUGUGGACGAUGAAGUUUUUCGGAAGGAAAAGUGCUUUCAGUUGGGAAGAAAAAAAUGACGGUACCAACAGAAGAAGUGACGGCUAAAUACGUG
rnacentral:rRNA from 1 species